CACAAUCCUUGUAGCCUCUAUUCUCAAAGGAUGCAUGAAUGAGAAACUGUGCGACGUCUGCAUAACUCUGAGGCAAAUGGCAGGUGCUACGAACCGGAGCAAGGUGUGAGCUCCCCCCACAACGAUGAGGUCACUGCACAUUUGGUUGAUGCUCUCGC